GAUGAAGAACGCAGCGAAAUGCGAUAAGUAGUGUGAAUUGCAGAAUUCAGUGAAUCAUCGAAUCUUUGAACGCACAUUGCGCCCUUCGGUAUUCCGUAGGGCAUGCCUGUUUGAGUAUCAUGAACACCUCAACUCUUCAUGGUUUUCCGUGAUGAGCUUGGACUUUGGGGGUCUUGCUGGCCUAUGGUCAGCUCCUCUAAAAUAAAUCAGCUUGCCAGUGUUUGGUGGGUAUCACAGGUGUGAUAACUAUCUACGCUUGUGGUUUUCCACCAGGUAACCUUCAGCAGUGGAGGUUCGCUGGAGCUCACAGAUGUGUCUCUCCUCAGUGAGGACAGCUCUUUGAAUGUUUGAUCUCAAAUCAGGUAGGACUACCCGCUGAACUUAAGCAUAUCAAUAAGCGGAGGA
rnacentral:misc_RNA from 1 species